CACACCUAAAAGAGCCAACAGCCAGGGUUACCAUAACGAUAUCUGGGCAACAAGCGACGUCAGCUCCAGUAAGGAACCCUCUGCGGGAACAAGAUUAGAGGAUCCAAUCAGUGGUGACACUGAACCUGGCACCCAGUGGAAUGAGACACCAGGGAGGCCUAAUCAUCCCCAUGACUCCACUCAGCUGCAGCAGGCCAAUGAAAUCCCCUCCAGACUAAGCAGAUGGUCGAUAUCAUCUUCUUUCUUUUCUAGCACCUUGGAAGCAGCACAAAGACCAAGCCAGGAAAAGUCAGCCUUCUGAUCUCAAGAAAGCAAGAGUUAUACAA